rnacentral:rRNA from 1 species
ACUCCUACGGGAGGCAGCAGUAAGGAAUAUUGCGCAAUGGGCGACAGCCUGACGCAGCGACGCCGCGUGGGGGAUGAAGGUCUUCGGAUUGUAAACCCCUUUCGGCAGGGAAGAUGGAGCGAGCAAUCGUUCGGACGGUACCUCCAGAAGCAGCCACGGCUAACUUCGUGCCAGCAGCCGCGGUAAUACGAAGGUGGCAAGCGUUGUUCGGAUUUACUGGGCGUACAGGGAGCGUAGGCUGUUGGGUAAGCCCUCCGUGAAAUCUCCGGGCCUAACCCGGAAAGUGCGGAGGGGACUGCUCGGCUAGAGGAUGGGAGAGGAGCGCGGAAUUCCCG